rnacentral:rRNA from 1 species
GACGAACGCUGGCGGCGUGCUUAACACAUGCAAGUCGAACGGAAAGGCCCUGCUUUUGUGGGGUGCUCGAGUGGCGAACGGGUGAGUAACACGUGAGUAACCUGCCCUUGACUUUGGGAUAACUUCAGGAAACUGGGGCUAAUACCGGAUAGGAGCUCCUGCUGCCUGGUGGGGGUUGGAACGCUUCGGCGGUUGGGGAUGGACUCGCGGCUUAUCAGCUUGUUGGUGGGGUAGUGGCUUACCAAGGCUUUGACGGGUAGCCGGCCUGAGAGGGUGACCGGCCACAUUGGGACUGCGAUACGGCCCAGACUCCUACGGGAGGCAGCAGUGGAGAAUAUUGCACAGUGGUCGGAAGCCUGAUGCAGCAACGCCGCGUGCGGGAUGACGGCCUUCGGGUUGUGAACCGCUUUCGCCUGUGACGAAGCGUGAGUGACGGUAAUGGGUAAAGAAGCACCGGCUAACUACGUG